AUGGGCCAAAAAAUACACAUAACUGUCCCAUUGGAGGCGUCCAAAAGUGUGCCCUUUUUAAAGGGAGGAAAAUGCAGCAUAUCCGAUCGCUGGAUGCGAAAGGGAGCCGCACCAAAAAAUGUUUGCAGGUCCAAAGAAACUAGUGUCGCCGGCACCAAGGAAAACUCCAAAGUUUGUGUGUGCCGACUCGUAUUUUGCGAUCCUACGAACCUAUCUUUCAGGGAUCGAAAGCGUCGCCAUAGUUUAUUAUUGCUGAUCACAUGGGUGACUCUGUACCUAACAACUGACAAAUCUUUGAUCGGAUCAAAUUCAGGGAAGCAUGGCUGGCGGUUGCAAAGCACAACUUGGAACCUUCGUCCAUGGGCCUUACACGCUAGUGCUCGUUUAAAAAUGGAGUUCAGAGUUCAGACUGACAGGAGAUGA
rnacentral:rRNA from 1 species